rnacentral:rRNA from 1 species
AUUGAACGCUGGCGGCAUGCCUUACACAUGCAAGUCGAACGGUAACAGGUCUUCGGAUGCUGACGAGUGGCGAACGGGUGAGUAAUACAUCGGAACGUGCCUAGUAGUGGGGGAUAACUACUCGAAAGAGUGGCUAAUACCGCAUGAGAUCUACGGAUGAAAGCAGGGGAUCGCAAGAUCUUGUGCUACUAGAGCGGCCGAUGGCAGAUUAGGUAGUUGGUGGGAUAAAAGCUUACCAAGCCGACGAACUGUAGCUGGUCUGAGAGGACAAUCAGCCACACUGGGACUGGGACACGGCCCAGACGCCGACGGGAGGCAGCAGGGGGGAAUUUUGGACAAUGGGCGAAAGCCUGAUCCAGCAAUGCCGCGUGCAGGAUGAAGGCCUUCGGGUUGUAAACUGCUUUUGUACGGAACGAAAAGCCCUGGGUUAAUACCCUGGAGUCAUGACGGUACCGUAAGAAUAAGCACCGGCUAACUACGUGCCAGCCGCCGCAGUAA